rnacentral:rRNA from 1 species
CGCUGGCGGCGUGCCUAAUACAUAGCAAGUCGAACGGUCUUUCUAUGGAAGCUUGCUUCCACUGAGAAGAUAGUGGCGAACGGGUGAGUAACACGUGGGUAAACCUGCCCAUAAGAGGGGGGAUAACAUCCGGAAACGGGUGCUAAUACCGCAUAGUUUCUUGAUUGCAUGAUUGAGAAAGGAAAGACGGCCUUUGUGCUGUCGCUUAUGGAUGGACCCGCGGCGUAUUAGUUAGUUGGUGAGGUAACGGCUCACCAAGACGAUGAUACGUAGCCGACCUGAGAGGGUGAUCGGCCACAUUGGGACUGAGACACGGCCCAAACUCCUACGGGAGGCAGCAGUAGGGAAUCUUCCGCAAUGGACGAAAGUCUGACGGAGCAACGCCGCGUGAGUGAAAGAAGGUUUUCGGAUCGUAAAACUCUGUUGUCAGAGAAGAACAAGUUGGAGAGUAACUGCUCCAGCCUUGACGGUAUCUGACCAGAAAGCCACGGCUAACUACGUGCCAGCCGCCGC